CUAGGAACUGUAAGAGUCUCGCUCUAGCCCUGGAGUGGGAAGGACUAGCUGCUUGGGAGCAAGUGCAGUUAGGCUUUGAUCCUUGAGUGGGAUCCCUAAGAUCUAUUGCAACAUAUAGUUCAAAGCCAGAAGAUCAUUUCGUCUAACCUCCUGUAUAACACACGCCACCGGACACCCCUGCACCGAGCCCAGCAACCAGAGUCAUGACAGACCAAGGUUAGAUCUGGCUGCACAAGACUGGGUUUGUAUUGCCUCAUAAAUCAGCUCUCAUAUAGAUGAACCACCAUGAAAAUUCUUCAGGACUUAAUAUAUUAUUACCACAUAAUUUACACAUUCUACAGACUGCAAAUCAGAGAACUGUAAGAUAAUUUCACUUUGUGCUACAUCUGUUUUAGGGCAACAAAAAAGGGGGGUGGGGGGAGAGAGAUUCAAGGAUGACGAUAAUGAAUUAUUCCACUGCUUAUUUUAAAAAAGUGGUGAUUGUUAACAAAUUGUAUACUGUAUAAACUAGAGAGAGAACAUUAAAAAUAUGUGGCUCCUACAGUAAUCAGGCUGAACCAGGAUGCACUUGCAUUCUUAAGCAUGGGCUUUAAGAAAUAUUGCUGACUUGUGUGAUCAAUAUUAAGACCGUACUUUUAGGAUCAUAUGUCAAUAUAUACUUAUUGUCAUCUUGUGAGAGCCAAACAAGUUACACUGGCAAGUGUAUGCCACCGCAUGCCAAAUCUGCACAGGCAAUCUCUGCAGGCUAGUCAUUAUUGCACGCAGUUUGGUACAGAUAUGUGGAGACAUCUAAUUGUGAUAAAUAAUUACACACAUAAAUUAGGGACACAUUGUGCACAUAUAAUUGUGUGUUUAAACUGUUUGAAAUAUCAGGUCUUUAUUUAGUUUUAUGGCACCUGUCAUUUUAAUAAAGAGAAUAAGAUGAACAACAUCAAAUUCUUCAUUGUACUAUGCAAUAUUUCAGAACCAAGAAAACAAACUGAUUAAAAAAACCUCACCCAGUUAUCUUACAUAAAAGUUAAUGAGUUAAAAAAUCUCUCUCUAGCUCUCUCAUAUGAAAAGGAAAAUUUGGUAUGACAUACUAAACUAGUUCAUUUGUAUACAGGAGUCAAAAUAAUGCACCUGCCUUAUGGAGACUUUAUUAAACAAGGGCUAUAAUCAUCUAGCUCUUUA